rnacentral:tRNA from 1 species
GGCCUAUAGCUCGAUGGCAGAGCGUUUGCCUUGCAUGCAUGAGGCACUGGGUUCGAUCCUCAGCACCA